rnacentral:rRNA from 1 species
UACGAAGGGGGCGAGCGUUGUUCGGAAUUACUGGGCGUAAAGGGCGCGUAGGCGGCCCCUUUUGUCGCGUGUGAAAGCCCCGGGCUCAACCUGGGAGGUGCGCGCGAAACGGGGGGGCUUGAGUUCGGGAGAGGAGCGUGGAAUUCCUGGUGUAGCGGUGAAAUGCGCAGAUAUCAGGAGGAACACCAAUGGCGAAGGCAGCACUCUGGGACGUGACUGACGCUGAGACGCGAAAGCGUGGGGAGCAAACAGG